GCCACGGUGGCUUAGUGGUUAGCAUGUUCACCUCACACCUCCAGGGUCCGUGGUUCGAUUCCCGCUGGGGAG